UGUAGCUAGAAGAAUGCUUAUGACAUAUGGAUGGUACCAUGUCUAGUAGUCCCAUGCAUGUGUAGUUCAAUGUCUGUCCAUUGUUGAUCAGCUACGUGGCUCGAGUGAGCCUAGUCAUCUGGCUUGGGUACACAGAUGCUAGGAGGAAGCGUUGUUGUCGACUUAGUCAGCUACCCUAGACCAAUAGGCGAGGUAAAUAGAGAUGAAGAUGCAAGUAAAAAGCACCCCCUGAGUCUAGACCUAGCUAUGAGGCAAGGCAAGGUGACUCCGAAGAUGGCCUGCUAUAGUAGGACUUCAAGAAUGGGUCAUGGGCAUCUAAAAAGCUCCAAGAGAGGAAGAUAACCAUCUUAGCAAAAUAGUGAUGGGUGCUACCUUCAUCCUGACUCCUAGUAUGAAAAGGUUGAAGACUCUAAGUUUCAUGAAGAAAGUGUCGUUUCGAUAA